UCCAUAUAAUAGACCGAAAAUCAGCAUAUCAGCUUUGCAUCCGUGCGAAGAAGGGCCGGAUCGCUAAUUGUACUUUAUAAACCUUUGUCUUUAAUCACUCUAUCUCAAAAAAAACGCAUAAAAAUGCGUUGCGUAGUUUUAAAGAAUUAAGCGUACAUAGGGAUAUAGGGACAGAGAAAGCGUGGUGUUGGCCGUCAGCUGCGCAGAGUGCAAGAGGGCGCUCAGCUCACAGCUCGCGUCCGACACUCACCCACCGCACGCCACUCGUUACUCACUCAUCAAUGAAAUUAUUGGCGUGACAUCAUCGCAGUCAUUGUGCAAGACGAGAGAUACGCACGCCAACCGCUCAAGUUCACCACACGACAACACUAAUCUGCCUAAUGGCUUUAAAACUGCGAUCCCAUGGAAAAGAUAUUUCUAGGCUAUAUAUAAUAUGGGCAUGGACAGAAAUUCCCAUAGGACAUGGGUGAAAGCCUGCAACAUAUUGGAGUUCACAUGCAGCUGAAUAUCUUACAGGGUGGACUCAAUUCUAAAUCCAAUCCAGUACCAGAUAACCUGAUAUCUGUUGUACAAUUUACACAAGGCAUGUUGGCGAUGCAAACACUCAGUACAAACCAGUUCCAUAAGGAAGAAUUUGAUCUGCUGUAAGGUGAUCCUACUAACUUACAUUUCAUACACAGCUUUCUUUAACACAAUUGGUGCAUGACAGAUUCUGCACAGUGAAUCUACUUGCACGCACAAGCAUGUUCACAGCACACACAUUCCUUGUCACAAAUACUUAAUAGUUCAUUCAGAGUAUCACACAAAUGAUGUAAACAUUAACUACAACGAA